AAGAAGUUAGUUAAAAAAUAACAUUUACUUGUCAAGUAAAAAUUAUAAAAAUAUACAUCUUG
rnacentral:tRNA from 1 species